rnacentral:rRNA from 1 species
GACGAACGCUGGCGGCGUGCUUAACACAUGCAAGUCGAACGGAAAGGCCCUGCUUUUGUGGGGUGCUCGAGUGGCGAACGGGUGAGUAACACGUGAGUAACCUGCCCUUGACUUUGGGAUAACUUCAGGAAACUGGGGCUAAUACCGGAUAGGAGCUCCUGCUGCACGGUGGGGGUUGGAAAGUUUCGGCGGUUGGGGAUGGACUCGCGGCUUAUCAGCUUGUUGGGGGGGUAGUGGCUUACCAAGGCUUUGACGGGUAGCCGGCCUGAGAGGGUGACCGGCCACAUUGGGACUGAGAUACGGCCCAGACUCCUACGGGAGGCAGCAGUGGGGAAUAUUGCACAAUGGGCGGAAGCCUGAUGCAGCAACGCCGCGUGCGGGAUGACGGCCUUCGGGUUGUAAACCGCUUUCGCCUGUGACGAAGCGUGAGUGACGGUAAUGGGUAAAGAAGCACCGGCUAACUACGUG